rnacentral:rRNA from 1 species
GUGCCAGCAGCCGCGGUAAUACGAAGGGGGCUAGCGUUGUUCGGAAUUACUGGGCGUAAAGCGCACGUAGGCGGACAUUUAAGUCAGGGGUGAAAUCCCGGGGCUCAACCUCGGAACUGCCUUUGAUACUGGGUGUCUUGAGUGUGGAAGAGGUCAGUGGAAUUGCGAGUGUAGAGGUGAAAUUCGUAGAUAUUCGCAGGAACACCAGUGGCGAAGGCGGCUGACUGGUCCACAACUGACGCUGAGGUGCGAAAGCGUGGGGAGCAAACAGGAUUAGAUACCCGCGUAGUCC